rnacentral:rRNA from 1 species
AUUGAACGCUGGCGGAAUGCUUUACACAUGCAAGUCGAACGGUAGAGGGGGCAACCCCUCGAGAGUGGCGAACGGGUGAGUAAUAUAUCGGAACGUGCCCAGUCGCGGGGGAUAACGUAGCGAAAGUUACGCUAAUACCGCAUACGAUCUAAGGAUGAAAGCGGGGGAUCGCAAGACCUCGCGCGAUUGGAGCGGCCGAUAUCAGAUUAGGUAGUUGGUGGGGUAAAGGCUCACCAAGCCAACGAUCUGUAGCUGGUCUGAGAGGACGACCAGCCACACUGGAACUGAGACACGGUCCAGACUCCUACGGGAGGCAGCAGUGGGGAAUUUUGGACAAUGGACGCAAGUCUGAUUCAGCCAUUCCGCGUGCGGGAUGAAGGCCCUCGGGUUGUAAACUGCUUUUGUACGGAACGAAAAGGUCUCUCUUAAUACGGGGGACUCAUGACGGUACCGUAAGAAUAAGCACCGGCUAACUACGCGCCAGCAGCCGCAGUAA